AGGAUGUGAAAGGCAUUAUGGAAAGGAGUAUGACCUUCACUCUGAAGAAGCCAAAAACUCUCCCCAUGAAGCAAAGGAGAGUGCUCCAAGCUCCUGACCUGGGAGGGAUGCUACAAGUGUUUAAUGAACUCACAGAUGUGCGACGCUAUUGGGGUAAGGAGAAAUCACAAUAUCACAAAGUCACCUUGUCCUCAUUUUCUUUUAGAAUUUUGCAUUUUCUUCUAGGUCUCUAGUAUAAAGACCCGUGUUUCCCUCCCACCUCACACAUACAUAUUAUAUUCCUGCAGUGAGUACUGCUCCUCAGGAACCAAAUCAAAUGCUUCCCAUUUCCCUCUCACUUUAUUCUCAAUAUCUGCCUUACAAUGUCACACAUAAAGUAUGUCAGAUUCCUCACCCAACCCUGUAAUUUUUCUACAGUACACGUGACCCUGGAUCCUCCCACGGAUAAAUCAAAUGUCAUUUCUGAGGGUCGGAGACAAGUGAGACCUGUACCUUUUU